GACGAGGGGUCCAAACGUUGCUCGGAAUCAUUGGGCGUAAAGCGGGUGUAGGCGGCUUAGAAAGUCGGAAGUGAAAGCCCUGGGCUCAACCCAGGAAGUGCUUUUGAAACUUCUAAGCUUGAGUAUGGGAGAGGGAAGUAGAAUUCCUGGUGUAGUGGUGAAAUACGUAGAUAUCAGGAGGAAUACCGGAGGCGAAGGCGGCUUCCUGGCCCAAUACUGACGCUCAGACCCGAAAGCGUGGGUAGCAAACAGG
rnacentral:rRNA from 1 species